rnacentral:rRNA from 1 species
UACGGGGGGGGCAAGCGUUGUUCGGAAUUACUGGGCGUAAAGGGCUCGUAGGCGGCCAACUAAGUCAGACGUGAAAUCCCUCGGCUUAACCGGGGAACUGCGUCUGAUACUGGAUGGCUUGAGUCCGGGAGAGGGAUGCGGAAUUCCAGGUGUAGCGGUGAAAUGCGUAGAUAUCUGGAGGAACACCGGUGGCGAAGGCGGCGACCUGGGUCGACACUGACGCUGAGGCGCGAAAGCGUGGGGAGCAAACAGG